GGAAGGCGCGGGCGGGAACGCGGAGCCGCCCAGGGCCUCCGGCUCGCGCUCGCCGCCGGAGGUCUGGAGGGACCCGGGCUUCCUGGGCCAGAGAGAACGGCUAACUGCGACGGAACUCCCUGCAGGCAGAUGUUAGCGGCCCGGGUGCAGAGCACAGGAGCGGUGGCUGGAGGCUAGCUCUGUGCACCUGUGGUGUAGAGUGCGUUCGCAGAAGACCAUGCAAAUUGUGACAUGCUCGUGGGGAUCAGAAGAUCUUCACUGAGUGGAUGAUGCAUCUGUAAUCCCAGCAUUCCCAAGGCAAGAUGGGAGGAGGAGACCACAGAAUUACCAGGAAGCUCGCUGGGCCAGCUAGCUUGGAGUCCUCAACGCAGAAGCAGAAACAAGAGGGAGCCUGCCUCAGCAAGUGAGACUGAGUCUUGAAAGUUGUUUCAUGACUUUGUAUUCUCCCUCUCUGUCUCUCUGUCUCUGUCAUCUCUGUC